AGUACGAUAUUGAGGUGUUUGUAAGCACAGUCCAAAAAGAGCUUGUACUUAUUGAAAAAGCGCAUAAAGGGAAUUAGCAAUUUUCAAGUUUAAAUUAUCUAACUUAUCGCUAAAAGUUUUAUCUAACUGUGCUUCAAAACCCAUUUCCUUAUUCAAAGUGGGGUGGAUAAAACUAAUUUGUUGCGCGUGUAAAUACUGGCCAUAUUCAGUAGCUUGCUCACUCUUCAAACCGUAUAAGGGAUCGUUGUAAACGGGGUGUUUAAUAAACUGCAAGUGUACCCUAAUUUGGUGAGUUCGUCCGGUUAACAGUUCACACUUAAUUAAAGCAGCCUUUUCGUUUUGGUUUAACACCGUAAACUUAGUAAAAGCAUUCUUGGCCUUGUUAGAACUGUUCCCCACCUUUCACAUGACCUUAUUGUUACCCACUCGUUCUAACGGGGCGCUAAUGGUACCAGACAAACUGUCUAGGGGAAAAUGGACUAAAGCUAAGUAAUAACGCUUCAUAACCCGUUGCUGGAGCUGUUUUUGCAAGUGCAGCAAGCUACUUUGGUUUUUCGCUAGCAUAAUCACACCACUCGUAUCACGGUCUAGGCGGUGGACUAAAAACACCGGUUGGUGGUUGCAGUGAAACAAAGCGGCACCCAGUAAACUUUCACUUUCAUUAAAACUAGUCGGGUGGCUAAUUAAACCAUUGGGUUUAUUGACCACCAUAAUUUGCUCAUCUUCAUAUAAGAUGUCCAAGGGAAAGUCAUAGGGCUGGACUUCAACUGGCACUUUUUCAAACAGUUCCUCACUCCAAUUAACGUGUACCCGGUCUUCUGGUUGCACUAAUCAACCAUUUUUAGUAAUUUUUUUACCGUUAACACUCACCAAACCAUCGACAAUUAACUUGGCUACUUUAACCCGGGAAAGGUUGAGUAGUGUGGCCAAAAAGGUAUCUAAGCGUUGGGCUGUAGUAACACUAAAAGUUUGUUCCAUUAAGAUUUAGUUUGCUUCAUUUCUUUGAAGAACUGAAUUAAAAAGGAGAGGAACAGACCAAUAAAACUAAAGGUAAUGCAACAGUCCGCUAAGUUAAACACGGAAUUACCUCCACUAAAGACAAAGUAAUCUAGUACUUCACCACUACCCGAGGUUAACCGAUCAAAGAAAUUACCAAGUGAACCAAACGCUAAGGUAGUAAUUCAAAAGAUGUAGUUGUAACUAGUAGAGAAAACCAAAAAGAACAGUGCUAUGAAAGAUAGAAAACCCUGGAGAAAGUAAACAAGUCCUGGUUGGUCUGCCAAUAAGCUAAAACCAACCCCCUUGUUACCGAUAACAUAGAUACUAAUAAAGGAACUGCGAGCUACAUCUGUACCAUUAGCACCAUUAAUACCCUUCUCACCAUUUAAGGCAGCACGCAGCAUAAAUACCUGAAACAAAAUGACAAAACCGACAAACAGGAUUAAGGCAAGCUUAUAGUACAAAAAGGGUUUGCGGUUAGCAAAAAGGAUUUGCUUUAGCAAUUUUGAAAAAAAAGUUGGGGCUUUUGCCAUCUUGAUGAGCUUAAUUUUAAAAAUGUAAAAUA
rnacentral:sRNA from 1 species